ensembl:misc_RNA Metazoa_SRP Metazoan signal recognition particle RNA
GCCAGGUGUGGUGGUGCACACCUGUAGUCCUAGCUACUAAAGAAGCUGAGGCAAGAGAAUCGCUUGAGCCCAGGACUUCAAGGCUGCAGUGAGCUAUUAUUGCACCACUGCACUCCAGCUUGGGCGACAGAGUGAGACCUUGUCUCUA